UAGUACGUGUUAUGGUAACAUAGUAUGAGACUUCUUAGAGGGACAUUUCGGGUUUACCGAAAGGAAAUUUCUGGCAAUAUCAGGUCCGUGAUGCCCUUAGAUGUUCUGGGCCGCACGCGCGCUACACUGACGACUUCAACAAGUUUUUUGGCCUUGCCAAAUUUCCUUGGCCGGAAGGUCUGGGCAAUCUUUUAAAAGGUCCUCGUGAUGGGGCUAGAUUCUUGCAAUUAUUAAUCUCCAACGCGGAACC
rnacentral:rRNA from 1 species